GGAAUAUUGGACAAUGGGCGAAAGCCUGAUCCAGCAAUGCCGCGUGAGUGAUGAAGGCCUUAGGGUUGUAAAGCCCUUUUACCCGGGAUGAUAAUGACAGUACCGGGAGAAUAAGCUCCGGCUAACUCCGUGCCAGCCGCCGCGGUAAUACGGAGGGAGCUAGCGUUGUUCGGAAUUACUGGGCGUAAAGCGCGCGUAGGCGGCUUUGUAAGUUAGAGGUGAAAGCCCGGGGCUCAACCCCGGAAUUGCCUUUAAGACUGCAUCGCUUGAAUCCGGGAGAGGUGAGUGGAACUCCGAGUGUAGAGGUGAAAUUCGUAGAUAUUCGGAAGAACACCAGUGGCGAAGGCGGCUCACUGGACCGGCAUUGACGCUGAGGUGCGAAAGCGUGGGGAGC
rnacentral:rRNA from 1 species